rnacentral:tRNA from 1 species
UGGGGCGUAGCCAAGUGGUAAGGCAGGGGAUUUUGAUUCCCCCAUUCGGAGGUUCGAUCCUCCCGCCCCAGCCA